rnacentral:rRNA from 1 species
UGGGGAAUCAUGGUCAAUGGGCGAAAGCCUGAACCUGCGACGCCGCGUGAGUGAUGAAGGUCGUAAGAUCGUAAAACUCUUUUCAGGGAUCUUAAAGCCUGUCUCUCAACAACAGGCAGAUCUGACUCUCCCUGGAAGAAACCCCAGCCAACUACGUGCCAGCAGCUGCGGUAAUACGUAGGGGGCGAGCGUUAUUCGGAAUUACUGGGUGUAAAGGGUAUGUAGGCGGCCCUUCAAGUCGCGUGUCAAAGUCCAGUGCUCAACGCUGGGUGUG